GACGAGAAUCUACUGAAAGAGUUUUCGGACGAUGGAAGUAGAGGAGGUGGCGGACGGGUGAGUAACGCGUGAGGAACCUGUUUUGAAGAGGGGGACAACAGUUGGAAACGACUGCUAAUACCGCAUGAAGCAUAGGGGUCGCAUGAUUCUUAUGCCAAAGAUUUAUCGCUUCAAGAUGGCCUCGCGUCUGAUUAGCUAGUUGGCGGGGUAACGGCCCACCAAGGCGACGAUCAGUAGCCGGACUGAGAGGUUGAACGGCCACAUUGGGACUGAGAUACGGCCCAGACUCCUACGGGAGGCAGCAGUGGGGAAUAUUGGGCAAUGGGCGCAAGCCUGACCCAGCAACGCCGCGUGAAGGAAGAAGGCUUUCGGGUUGUUAACUUCUUUUAAGAGGGAAGAGCAGAAGACGGUACCUCUAGAAUAAGACACGGAUAACUACGUGCCAGCAGCCGCGGUAAUACGUAGGUGGCAAGCGUUGUCCGGAUUUACUGGGUGUAAAGGGCGUGCAGCCGGGUCUGCAAGUCAGAUGUGAAAUCCAUGGGCUCAACCCAUGAACUGCAUUUGAAACUGUAGAUCUUGAGUGUCGGAGGGGCAAUCGGAAUUCCCUAGUGUAGCGGUGAAAUGCGUAGAUAUUAGGAGGAACACCAGUGGCGAAGGCGGAUUGCUGGACGAUAACUGACGGUGAGGCGCGAAAGUGUGGGGAGCAAACAGGGAUUAGAUACCCUGGUAGUCCACACUGUAAACGAUGAAUACUAGGUGUGCGGGGGACUGACCCCCUGCGUGCCGCAGUAAACACAAUAAGUAUUCCACCUGGGGAGUACGAUCGCAAGGGUUGAAACUCAAAGGAAUUGACGGGGGCCCCGC
rnacentral:rRNA from 1 species